UAGCCUACGGGGGGCAGCAGUGGGGGAUAUUGCACAAUGGGGGGAACCCUGAUGCAGCGACGCCGCGUGGGUGAAGGAGCGUUUCGGCGCGUAAAGCCCUAUCGGCAGGGAAGAAGGAGGACGGUACCUGACUAAGAAGCCCCGGCUAACUACGUGCCAGCAGCCGCGGUAAUACGUAGGGGGCAAGCGUUAUCCGGAUUUACUGGGUGUAAAGGGAGCGUAGACGGCAGGGCAAGUCUGGAGUGAAAGGCAGGGGCCCAACCCCUGGACUACUCUGGAAACUGUCCGGCUGGAGGGCAGGAGAG
rnacentral:rRNA from 1 species